rnacentral:rRNA from 1 species
UUACGGUCACAUCACGUUGAAACACCAGUUCCCGUGCGAUCACCGAAGUUAAGCAACGUCAAGCCUAGUCAGUACCUUGAUGGGUGACUGCUUGGGAAUACCUUG